UACGUAGGGUGCAAGCGUUAAUCGGAAUUACUGGGCGUAAAGCGCGUGUAGGCGGCUUUGCAAGUUGGGUGUGAAAUCCCUCGGCUCAACCGAGGAAGUGCGCCCAAAACUGCAUGGCUUGAGUCUCGGAGAGGAUGGCGGAAUUCCCCAAGUAGAGGUGAAAUUCGUAGAUAUGGGGAGGAACACCGGUGGCGAAGGCGGCCAUCUGGACGAAGACUGACGCUGAGACGCGAAAGCGUGGGGAGCAAACAGG
rnacentral:rRNA from 1 species